rnacentral:rRNA from 1 species
GAUGAACGCUGGCGGCGUGCCUAAUACAUGCAAGUCGAGCGAACAGACGAGGAGCUUGCUCCUCUGACGUUAGCGGCGGACGGGUGAGUAACACGUGUAUAACCUACCUAUAAGACUGGGAUAACUUCGGGAAACCGGAGCUAAUACCGGAUAAUAUAUUGAACCGCAUGGUUCAAUAGUGAAAUACGGUUUUUCUGUCACUUAUAGAUGGAUCCGCGCCGCAUUAGCUAGUUGGUAAGGUAACGGCUUACCAAGGCAACGAUGCGUAGCCGACCUGAGAGGGUGAUCGGCCACACUGGAACUGAGACACGGUCCAGACUCCUACGGGAGGCAGCAGUAGGGAAUCUUCCGCAAUGGGCGAAAGCCUGACGGAGCAACGCCGCGUGAGUGAUGAAGGUCUUCGGAUCGUAAAACUCUGUUAUUAGGGAAGAACAAAUGUGUAAGUAAAUAUGCACGUAUUGACGGUACCUAAUCAGAAAGCCACGGCUAACUACGUG